UUUGAUUAUCAUUGUCACUCAUACAGUACUUCUUGAAGAAAUAACCCAAACACCUCAUCACAAAAGGCACUGAAGCUGUAAUCAAAAGAUAGCGAAAACGCACAGAUUCAUGAGGAGUAACAGCAAAAACCGCAGAUGCAUAGGUUAUCAUCAUUGAAGCUGUAGCAGCCCAUAUUUCAAGAUGGAAAGGGAACCUGUAAGUGAGAGAUAUAAUGACAAGUAUACAAGUGGAGAGAGCCAAAGUGUUUGAUACCACGAAAACAUAGUAAGCACCCGGUUGAGAUGCAUAAAUUGCUGUUCCUGCAACAUGAGUACCAUUUCCUGUAUCUUGCCAGACCCCUCCAGGAGGGUUCACCCCAGCCUGGAAAGUCACUGCUGCAAUCAAGGCCACAACUAUUAGCAAAACAUUUCUAGCAUCGCCUGGUGAGUCUCUGCGUGGAUCAUACUGAAAUUUCUUGAACCAGCUAUGGCUUUUAGUAAUGUUUUUUUUAGGCUGAGACAUUCUUACUUGGGCAAAGAUAUGUGGGAGAUACCCGCACUCUGGCUCUCAAGAGGUUACUUAUAUAGACACACACACACCGAUUCAUGUAAGAAUUUUCAAACUAAUUUAAUGAUCAAUGUUUACCCGCGUCAAUGCAAGUCAAUGACUAUAAGAUUAUAUAAAUCUUGUGUGAAUAGUGAUUAUCAACGUCGAAUAUCUGGGUAUCCAAAUAGCCCCCACCAGGAAAAGAACGGUGGAAAUUUGGAGAAAAGUUAGGCAGACUUGACUCCUUUUCAAGUCUUGGAGUUAUUUCUUACGAUUAUUUGGACCACACGAAAACGAAAGGGGGAAGGAAAGUGAAAAAAAAAAAAAAUAGAAAAAGAAAAGCUGUGUGAGUGCGCAAGAAACCAUCUUUGUUUUCCUCGGCAAUUACACAUUUUAUUUUUUUAUUAAUAUAGAUAUUUGUAUUAGUUUGCAUGUAUCUCAACUAAUCACACGAAUCCUGAAGUUAACAAGUAUAUAAACCUUCAUUAACUCUGAGAAUUGUGAGAUUCGAAUUAAUUAUUUUUAAAGAAUCAGUUGAGCUACACCCUUCAAAGUUAUAUUUUAUUUUUUUCUUCCUUGAGAUAGUUAUUGCAGCUCGAUUUGUUUUUAAUGUUAAAAAGGUAUGGGAAUUAAUAAUAUUUUUAUACUUAUAACUUAUAAGUAAUAGAAUUUUUUUAAAGCAAGACAAAGGUUUGAAUUCAUUAUUAUUCAACCUGCCUUAUCAAAUAAUAGAAUUUUUUUAAAAAAUAAAUGUAAAAUUUGUUGGUUGAGCUACACCCUUUAAAGUUAUAUUUUACUUUUUUCUUCCUUGAGAUAGCUAUUGCAGCUCGAUUUGUUUUUAAUGUUAAAAAAGUAUAAAAAUUAAUAGUAUUUUUAUACUUGCAAGUAAAACUUUUUAAAGCAAGACAAAGGUUUGAAUUCAGUAUUAUUGAAUUGUCUUAUCAAAUUAAUAGAAUUUUGUGACAUUAAGAACAAUAAGUAUUAUUUUUGAAAAGUGACUAAAAAGACAAUUUUCUUUUUCUUUAUUGUUUUGAAGUGAUUUUUUUUUCUUUUUUAGGACUAAAAUCUUAAGAAAGUAAAUUUUUAAAUCAAAAUUAAAAUUGUAAAAGCUUAAAAGACUGCAAAGUAAGUAAAAUGAAAGAAGGUGGGCUAAACAGAACUUUUUGUAAUGAAUUUUAAAUUAUCCAUGUGAUUUUUUAUUGGUUUACUCUUUGGUCUUUUUUUGUUAAAUUUUCUCUUUUCUUAACAAGCUUUAAUAAAUUGGCAUUAAUUUAGGCAUAAAAAACUGCAAUUGAAAAAUAAAAUUUGAGAUGAAAACUGAAAAAAGAAACCUAAUUUAGUUUCUAAUGUAUAUACUCAAUUUUAAUUGGAUCCCAAGCCUAUAAAUUUUAUCACUUUUAUCUUAAAUGUUCUUAACAAUUCUCUUGUGUUAACGUUAAUUAUAUUUUUAAUAAAUCUUCUUAAGAAAAACACCAUUUUAUUACAUAAAAUAUUCCUAUUCGGUGGAAAAUAUUAACAAGAAAAUGAUGGAAGAAGGAUUCUAUUGAGAAAUGUGUGAUUGAGAAGUAUGAUGAGGCUUUUAUUAUUAUUAUUAUUAUUAUUAUUGCUUUGAAGUAUCCAAUCCAACAAUGUCUUAAGCUGACCUAUGGCAUUAGCUUUUGCAUAUAUAUGAUUUCUAAUUAAUUAACCUGCCAACGCUAGCAUUAAUGUUGUUUUAGUGCUUUUUUGUACAUAAAUACUAAUUUUGUAUUCAAAAUAUUAAUUAUAAAAUUAACUAUCAAAUUAAUACCACAAAGAUUGUGCUAUUUUUUAUUUUAGCUUAAAUUGACGUCGACAAAACAAAACCUUAACAACAAAUACAAAUCAUAAUUAAAUAUAAGGAGAGGCCCUUUAACCAAGGUUAUUAAAAUCGCGUUUUGAUUUGUAAAAUCGUACAAGGUUGUUAAAAUCGCGUUUUGACUCGUAAAAUCGUACUAUUUUACGAGUCAAAACAUGUAUUACGGGUUGAAUUGCUUGAAAAAAAUAAAAAAUAGAUAAAAUCGAGUUGAAAUCGAGUAAAAUCAUAAAAAUCAGAUAAAAUAACACAAAAUCACGAUUUCAAGACCGCUUUUGCAAUUUUAACAAAAUAAGGCCAUGAAAGUUUCAAUUGUAAAAUCCCCCCUCUUAAUUCAAUUAUUGACGGGGUGGUUGUAGAUAAUUUAAUACCAAAAAAAGGGAGAGUGUAGGCAGUUUGAAUAUUUCAAAAUAUUCUGUCAUUGGAAGGUGAAUUAAUUAUCACAGCUUCAGCACGCACAUAGAUAUUAAUUUAAAAGAAAGAAAAAAAUAAAACCAAACAGUAACUACAUCUUCAUGCAUAUCGAUGCAGGGCAAGUACUUUAAUGAGGAGAGGCAGACUGCCAAAGCACGCAGCAAGUGGAAAGAAAAUAAAAACCAAAAUAAUAGCGAAAGCGAGUGGAAGGAAGGUGGUUUGGACAUUUACACCACAAAGAGACAAGAAGAGUCUUAAAAGCAGCUUUUAGAGCACGCAUCGUGGCAGCUUUUACACCAAUUUUGCGAUUUUGAUAAAAUAAGGCUCUAAAAAAAAUAUUUUAAAUUUUUUUAUAAUUUUUUUGAGAUUUUUUUAUAUAUUUUAAAAUUUCUUACAAUUUUUUUUCGAUUUUAUAAUCUGUUUUUUUCGCGAUUUUAACAACCUUAUCUUUAACAAUAAUAAAUAUUACGUGUUCAGUAAUUUAUUAAUUUGAAAUAAGUAAUUUAGAAAUCACUCCCGGCUGAUAAUUAAAAUAUUGAAAAAAUAAUUAAUAAAAGAUUACAAGACAAUGAGAGCAAGGCUGCUGCGGAUGGAGGAUUUACAAUGAAAAUAGAAAAAUAAAAAAACCCACAUUAGAGUGGGUUUAGGGGUCUUUAAUUAAUAUUGUAGUCGAAUAUACUUUUUAGAAAUAAAUAAAUAUUAAAAUAUAUUUUUUUAUUAUUUUUUACACCAACACAUUAAAAUUAUAAAAAAUACUAAAAAAUAUUAAUUUUAUAUAGCCUUACAAAUUCUAUUAAGCUAAUACUUCAAUCUUUAUCCAAUAAAAAUGAGAACCAAUCAACUAAUUAUUUUCUGAAUAUGCUAAAACUCUCUUAAUAGAGAUUGACUCGUGUAUUAUUGAGUUCUAAUAAUAUUAUAAUUUUUAUAAAUCCCAUGAAUCACUUUUAAUUUUUGUUAAAUUAUAACUAUUCAGCCAUUUUUUAUUAGCAUUUCUAGAUGUUCAUGAGUGGAGUUCUUUUUUAAAAAACGUACGUCCUAUCACUAAUCAGUUAGACAAUUUUAAUAUAUAUAUAUAUAUAUAUAAAUCCAAUUCAUGGGUGAAGUGUGAUUACCAGUGUCGGGUAUCUGGGUGUCCAAAUAGCCCCACCAGGAGAAGAAAGGUGCAAAUUUGGACUAAAGUUAGACUGAAUUCCAAGUAUCUGUGAUCCAGCUUUAAAACGCUAUGUUUUAAGGAAAACCUAAUUUAUUCUCUAAUUUAUAUAUUCAAUCUUAACUGGAUCUCAAUCAGACCUAUAAAUUUUAUAAAUCUGAUGUCAAAUAUUCUAUAAACAAUUCUUAAUCAGGUUCUUAUGUUAAUAUUAAUUACUUUUUUGAUAUUUGUUUUUCAAAGCAACAUCAUUUUAUUACAUAAAAUAUAUCAAUUCGAUGGGCCAAAAAUUUGAUGGAAGGAGGACUGAUCUAUUGAGAAAUGUGGGAAAAAAGAUUGAGAAAUUACUUGAACAAAAAGCUUAAAUUAACCCAUGGGAGUGAAUUGCUUUUCCUGCAUUCUUUCCUUCUUGCCAGACCCCUCCAGGAGGGUUCACCCCAGCCUGGAAAGUCACCGCUGCGAUCAAGGCCACAACUACUAGCAAAACAUUUCUAGCAUCGCUUGGUGAGUCUCUGUCUGGAUCAUACUGAAAUUUCUUGAACCAGCUAGCGAUCAAGGCCACAACUACUAGCAAAACAUUUCUAGCAUCGCUUGGUGAGUCUCUGUCUGGAUCAUACUGAAAUUUCUUGAACCAGCUAGCGAUCAAGGCCACAACUACUAGCAAAACUAUAGCAGAAUUUAUUUAAUUAUCCCAAUAAAUAAUAGCAUAUGGAUUCAUUAAAUAAAAUUAUCUGAAUUUUAAAAUUUUAAUAUAUAUCCAAUUUAUGUAAGAGUUUCCCAACUAACUAAGUUAUUUAAUGAUUAAUGUUUACCCGAGUCAAUAUAAGUCAAUGAAUUUAAGUUUAUAUAAAUCUUGUGUAAAUAGUGAUUAUCAAUGUCAAUUAUCUGGGUAUCCAAAUAGCCCCACCAGGAGAAAAAAGGUGCACAUUUGGACAAAAGUUAACCAGACUUGACUCCUUUUCAAGUCUUGGAGUUAUUUCUUACAAUUAUCUGCACCACACGAAAAAGAAAGGGGGAAGGAAAAUGAAAUAAAAAAAUAGAAAAAGAAAAGCUGUGUGAGCGUGCAAGAAGCCAUCUUUGUUUUCCUGGACAAUUACACGUUUUGUUUUAUUAAUAUAGAUGUUUGUGCUAGUUUGCACGUAUUUUAAUUAAUCACACGGGUCUUAAAAUUAACAACUAUAUAAAUCUCAAUUGACCUUAAAAUUUAUAAGAUUCAAAUUAAUAAAUUAUAAAGAAUAAAUUUAUGACCUGAUCAGUUGAGCUAAACCUGUCAUAAUUAUAUUUUAUUUUUUUCUUUCUUGACGUAGUUGUUACAGCUCAAUUUGUAUUUAAUGGUAAAAAAGUAUAGGAAUUAAUAAUAUUUUUAUACUUGCAAGUAAAACUUUUUAAAGCAAGUCAAUAUAAGUCAAUGAAUUUAAGAUUAUAUAAAUCUUGUGUGAAUAGUGAUUAUCAAUGUCAAUUAUCUGGGUAUCCAAAUAGCCCCACCAGGAGAAAAAAGCUGCACAUUUGAACAGAAGUUAACCAGACUUGACUCCUUUUCAAGUCUUGGAGUUAUUUCUUACAAUUAUUUGCACCACGCGAAAAUGAAAGGGGGAAGGAAAGUGAAAAAAAAAAAUAGAAAAAGAAAAGUUGUGUGAGUGCGCAAGAAACCAUCUUUGUUUUCCUGGACAAUUACGCAUUUUAUUUUUUUUAUUAUUAUUAAUAUGGAUGUACGUACCAGUUUACAUAUAUUUCAACUAAUCACGUGGAUUUUGAAGUUAACAACUAUAUAAACCUUCAUUAACUUUGAGACUUGUAAGACUCGAAUUGAUGACCUCUAAAAAAUAAAUGCAGGACCUGAUCAGUUGAGCUAUACCCUUUAAAUUUAUAUUUUAUUUUUUUCUUCCUUGAGAUAGUUAUUGCAGCUCGAUUUGUUUUUAAUAUUAAAAAAAAUAUAGGAAUUAAUAAUAUUUUUAUACUUACAAGUAAAACUUUUUAAAACAAGACAAAGGUUUGAAUUCAGUAUUAUUGAACCUGUCUUAUAAAAUUAAUAGAAUUUGGUGACAUCAAGAACAAUAAGUAUUAUCUUUGAAAAGUUAACAAUCAAAUUUUUUUUUAAUUAAAAUUGACUGGAAAGUGUUUUUCGUUGAUCAACUUUUCUAAUGACAAACAAACACAUGAAAGUUUGGAAAACGGUUUCCAGAAAACUACUUUCCGGAAAAUAAACAUGGUCAAUUCCAAGUAUCUGUGAUCCAGCUUUAAAACGCUACGUUUUAAGAAAAACCUAAUUUAUUCUCUAAUUUAUAUAUUCAAUUUUAACUGGAUCUCAAUCAGACCUAUAAAUUUUAUCAAUCUGAUGUCAAAUAUUCUAUAAACAAUUCUUAAUCAGGUUCUUAUGUUAAUAUUAAUUACUUUUUUAAUAUUUUUUUUCAAAGCAACAUCAUUUUAUUACAUAAAAUAUAUCUAUUCGAUGGGCCAAAUAUUUGAUGGAAGGAGGACUGAUCUAUUGAGAAAUGUGGGAAAAAAGAUUGAGAAAUUACUUGAACAAUAAGCUUAAAUUAACCCAUGGGAGUGCUUGUUAUGCUGAUUAAUUAUUCUUAAUAAAAAUUGAGAUAUAUAUUUAUUACUGAUACUGUGAGCUUCACUGUACUGGCAGCAUGCCAGUGGAGAUCAACAUAUAGUAAUUAAUUAAUUGCUUCCAGCAGAGCAGAAUGCCACCAGGUAAUAAAGCUAGCAAUAAAAGAACCAAGAAGAAAAUUUAAGUUAUAGUUAUUAGAAAAGAUAUAUAUAUAUAGGGAGGUUACAGGGUUGAACUUUAUUUUUUUACGCUGUUAUAAUCAACGCUUAUAGCAAUAUCAGAAGCAAAAAAAUAAAAUAAAAUAAAGAAAGAAUCAAACAUAAAAUUCAGCAUGAUGAACGCGGAUGUUAAAAUAGAACCAGCUCCAAUGCUGCGCAGGAGCAGUAUUUUGAACCAUUACUUUGGUAAUGGUAAUCUUAGACGGCUAAUUAUCUUGGACGGCGACCUGCAUGCGGAGGCUACCACCCAUAUGACCAACCGUAUUACAAUAGGCGCUGGAGCAGCGACGAAGAUGAGGCGAAAGGACACUGAUUCGUAAGGUGUAAUACAAUAUAUCCCAGAACUGUAAGUGCCCAUCAUAGAAACUGUAGCAAUCAAGACUUCCAAGAAAUAAGGGUAACCGAAGGUUAGACAUAAUAAGAGAAAAAUGGAGGACGUUAGUGCAAUGGUGUUGAAUAUCAGGAAGAUUUGGAAAGGAACUUUCUGGUCAGAAUAAACAGCAUGUCCAGCUCUAUGUCCCUGAUUAUCAUCGCUUUGCCAAACUCCACCAGGUGGGGUGAUUCCUGCUUGGAAGGUCACCGUCGCGAUCAGCGCCGCCCCGACUAGCAUAACAUUUCGGAAGUCAUCACCGGUUGUCUUUGUUUUACAUGGCGGGAUUGUUGGCAAUAUAAUAGCUUUUAAGGGGUUGAUUUGGGUUUUGUCAUCAGUACUUCCCAUAUUUCACUAGGAAUUGUAAGAGUAGUGAUUUUUUCGUCCCGUCUUUCACUCAAACUCAGCAAAACAAGGCUCGAAUAAAUUAAUAACAAGAACGGGAACGGUGCAUUUGAUUUUCAUUCAAGUAAAGAAAGGUUCUCUUCCAUGAAAUUCACCUGGGAAUACUUCUUGGUGGAGUGUUGAAAUCAUUCAAGAAAGGUAUAAGAUGCUGAAACAGCUAGCCAAACGGGAAGUGCUGUUUUUUUAUUUAUUUUUAUCUCCUUUUCCUUCUGGUGUUCAGUACUUUAGAAUUAAGAGGGGCCGAAAGUGCCUGGUGAUUAAUACAUUGAAAAUAAAAUUCGAGUUAUAAAGUACAUGAUUUCAAAAAAACAAAAAAGAUUUUCAAAUUUAAAUGUAACAAGUUCUAUUCGAAGAAGAUUUGGCUCAGCGUAUAACGGGAAGAAAUGGGUUUGGUGUUUUUUACUUUUAAAUUUAUAAUUUUUAUUAGAUUAGAAGAAUGACGGAAGAAUUCGAGGGAAAAAGUUAAAUUGCUAGCUUUAUUUCCAUAUCUCUGAUUUUGCGCGCGAGGAUGAUUAUUUUAUUCAAGAAGCGUCAUGCAUGAUUUCAUCAUUUCCGUUGCCAUGAUGUAUAUAGCACACCGUCAGUUCUGUGACAUCAGCUUUGAGAAAUGGCAAAAUGGCAAAUUACAACAUUUGUUUUUUUGCAAAAAGAAAAUCAUCAAUAUUAGGGGAUGAAUUCCGUUCUUAUCCAGAAUAGCAACUCCAACUCACCUAGGUUGGUUUUUUUUUUUUUUUUUUUUACCAACAGGUGCGUGGCUCAAGUGGUUGAAGGGGGCUGCUCUCCUUCUUUCGAACUCGAGUCCCAAUAGGAGUGGCGUUGGAGAGUUUUGUUCCUCUCCUAUUUCUCUUGGAUCCUCCCUGUACGGUAUGCAUGUCACUCCCGCAGUGCCUUACUUGUUCACUGAGCGUGCAGGAUGUUCAGUGGGCCGUGGGAAUAGUCGUGGUGCGCGCAAGCUGGCCGGGACACCCACGAUAAUAAUAAAAAAAAGGUUUUUUUUUUCUUUUUACACCAUUUCAAAUUCGAGUUUUAUAAUUAUUAAUAUAAUAGUCAUUAAAAAUUUAUAAAAUCAUUAAUUUCAAAAUUUAUAGGAUUAUUCGAGGCACACACAAUUUGAAUCAAACACUCCCAUUAAUUAAAAAAAUAAAUUUAUAUAAUUAUUUAAUCUAAUGAAUAAUAGAUAUCAUAUAUUAAAAAACACAAUUUAAAACUUAACUCAGUGGGUAUAUAUUUAGAUUUUAACUUCAACCUGAAAAUGCAUUGACUAAUAAAAUCAGGUUGCCAGGUUUUUAAUUAUUUGGUUAAUAUAAACAAACCUGGUUCAACUUUUAGGAUUUUUUUAAUAAAAAUUUAUAAUUAACUUUUCUUCAUAAUUUCACCGAAUCAAUCAAGAAUUACAAAUUAAUGACUUGUACUUGUCCCUUGCUAGAUGCGCUUAAUUACAAUUUUAUCUGCUAAUCAAUCUACGAAUAGAAGGAAUGAUUGGCAAUAAUUUUGUUCAAUUCUUGCAUAAAAAAACUGCCAACCGAAAUUUUUUUUGGAAAUUAUUAAUUCAAAAGGGAAAAAAUAUGGCUAAUAUUAUCACAGCCAACAAUAUUUAUAAACGAAAUUACAUUCUGCCGUCUGGAAAGAAGAAGAAAGGAGAAGCAAACAUUCAGCACCUCAUCUUACUGAUAUGGGUUCUUUCCUUCCACAUCCGAUCUUUUUUAACCAUUCAUUGGGCACUGGGUGGUAAAAUACAGCGGAAAACACCCAAAUAAGAACCCUUAUUACUAUAGGUACAGGAGCGGCGAGGAAGAUGAGACGAAACGACACUGAUUCGUAAGGUGUAACACUAUAUAUCGCAGAACCAUAAGUGCCCAUCAUAGAAAUUGUAGCAAUGAAAACUUCCAAGAAAUAAGGGUACCUAAAGGUUAGACAUAAUAGUAGAAAACUGGAGGAUGUCAGUGCAAUAGUGUUACAUAGCAGGAAAAUUUGGAAAGGUAUUCUCUGAUCAGAAUAAAUAGCACGUCCGGCUUUAUGUCCCAGCUUAUCAUCACUUUGCCAAACUCCACCGGGUGGACAAAUUCCAGCUUGGAAGGUCACGGUGGCGAUCAGCACAGCCCCGGCCAGCAAAACAUUUCGGAUAUCAUGAGGUUCUGGCUUUACAUCUGGUGGCGUUAUUGGUUUUGAGAUAGAUUUGAAGCAGACCUUGAUUUUGCUUUUGAUUCUAGUACUAGUAGUAUUUUUAGGGUGAUUUUCCAUAUCUCUCAGGUGAAGUUAUGGUUCCUUUCUUCUGUUAACAUUGCAACUCAAAGGGCCAAGAGGUUUAAAUAUUUUUCUUAAAGAGAAGGGGAAUAACGCACUUGAUUUUCAUUCAAGUAAGAAAGAUUCAGUCCCCUGCGAGUCUCUGGCACCAUUAAAUCUGGAUAGGAGUACUUUUGGUAGAGUACUGAAUUCAUUUAAGAAAGGUAUAAGAUCCUGAAACAGCCAAGCAGGCAGUACUGUUAUGCCUUCUCUCUUUUUUUUUCUUCCCCUUUUUGUGGUAUUCAGUAAUUUGAAAUGAAAAUGUGAAAGUGAUCUGAACCAUAAAGGGAGAAAACCUGGUUAGGAGUAUAUAAAUUUGGUGUCUUCCCAAUUUUCCAUUAAAUCACUUGACGGAAAGAUUUUGUAAAAGAAGGGAAGGGGGAUUUUUCGAAACUUCGGAACAGGGAGCAGAAGGCAUGACUGUAAAAUGGUAUUUAUGGAUAACAAAAGCUACGAGAAGCCUUAGGAUUGCAUGCACAUUGUUUAACACUUCUUUUUAGGCUACACAUUUGAUAGGAGAAAUCAAAGGAAAAGGUUAAAUUGAUGCUUUUAUUCCCAUAUUUUGCACAUUAAGCACGAUUAUUUUAUUCAAGAAGCAUGAUGGGGCUUCAUUUUGAUUGCAUCCAAUCCAACAACUAAUGUCUUAGGAUUAAUUAUGUCAUCAGCUUUUGCUUUGUAACUUCAAUCAUGCUACAGUCCUUUUGUUGCGAAAGGAUGGAUAUUAGGGCAUCCAUACUAACCUAAAUGUAGAUGCUAGAUGGCGAGUGACUUGUCAACUGUUUUUAUACAAUAUAAAGCUAGCAAGCUGCCCGAAUAGCCACGUUAAUUAAAAAGAAAAAAUUGCAACUAGAAAGGCAUAGAGAAAUUGACGAACUGAAUUGAUUAACCUGCAAUAAGCUAGAGGACACGGAUGUAGGAGAGGUGAAGAGUCCUACUAAUCGAUCUGCAUGCAAUCGGGGGGAAUCAUAAUUUGCCUUGCAUUUGACCUUAAUGCUUUUUUCAGAAAGGGGUGUAUACUUGAUAUACAGAUUAUUAUUGUGCAGAUUGCCUUAAUUUAAGCUAGUGCAGUGGCCCGUAUCAGUUUUUCCUUUCAAUUUUAUAAACCAGGAUGCAAAUUUAUUAGGGAAAAAAAACACAUCAAAGAAGAUAGUCUAGAGGUAGAGGAUACAGAAAAUACAACCCAGGAAAACAAGAGAUACAAGAAUGAGAAAGAAGAAAAAAACCAGCCUGGCCAAGGACAAAUUAGAAAUGAACCAGCUUAUGUUGGCCUUGCUCGCAGCUCUUACAUCUACACACUUUGGCCUGUUUCCCCACCUAUUUCUUCAUCUUUCUGACAUUUAUUACUGCAUUUCUUAAGCAUCUGAAUCAAAAACCUUGUGAUAAAAGGCACUGAAGCUGUAAUCAAGAGAUAGCAAAAAUGCACAGAUUCGUGAGGGGUAACAGCAAAAAUUGCAGAAGCAUAAGUUACCAUCAUUGAAGCUGUGGCAACCCAAAUUUCAAAGUGGAAAGGGAACUUGUAAGUGAGAGAAGUGAUAACAAGUAAUGACGCGGAGAAAGCCAAAGUGUUUGACAUCAAGAAAACAUAGUAAGGAUGUUUUUGAGACGCAUAAAUUGCUCUGCCAGCUGCAUGAUGUUCUUGAACGUUAUCAUCCUGCCAGAGUCCACCAGGAGGAUUUACCCCAGCUUGGAAGGUCACUGCAGCAAUCAGUGUGGCAAUCACCAGCAAAGCAUUCCGUGCAUCAUUUGGUGAGUCCCUUUCUUUAUCAUAUUGAAAUCUCUUGAACCAGCUAAUGCUUCUCUCGGUAUUUUGAGGGUGUACUUGAGCCAUUUUUGUCCAAGCAGCAACUUAUGAUGCCAAACACUUUAAUGAGUACCUUUAAAUAAGCUAGAUGCAUACAAUGAGUCCAAGACAUUACCUUAAUUUUUUAUUAAAAAAUUCAAAACAUUAAUUUGCAGAAAAUAAUACCUAUAAUGAUUGGAGCAUAGUUAUAGAAUAUGUAUGGUAUGGUAACUUGUUAAGCUCGAGCUCUGAACAUAUUUAAAAAAUAACUUUGUUAAACUUGAUUGAUUUGGUUGAACUCAGACAAGAUUUAAUUAACUUAAUUCUAGGAAUUUUUGUUAUUAUUUUAUCUAAAAUGAUAUAUUUUUAUUUUUUGAAAAAAAAUUAAAUUUGUUUUAAGAUUGAUCCAACAAAUUAAUUCACAAUCGAUAAAGUCUAAUAAGUAUGGAUUGAAAUAGAAAAAGAACCGGUAACUCUCUAUCAACCGGUUUAAUAUUUAAUUGUGUAUAUACACAAUUAAAUAUCAAACCGGUUCCAACCUCGUGACAAAUUGAUCUCCUUUCUGCAAUCCCGAAUCACAGCUUUCAACCUUGACAUUGAUAUGAAUGCAUGUUUUCACAUGCAAGUUUCAACUCCCCGAAGAUGUGAGAUUCCUAACUCUUGUCCUUGUUGCUACCCAAUUUUUUACCCAUGUUUUGAUAUAUUUUUAAAAAAUCCAAAAAAUUAAGAAAAACAAAGAAAAUCCAAAAAAUAUGUUUUUUUAAUAUAUUUUCGUCAUUUUAGCAUUUUCAACGUCGUCUAAAAAAGAAUUUAAAUUGUUAAAAGAUUUUCAAACGCGUUCGACUUUUCACGCGUCAUUUUUAAAUCAUUGAUUUUCCGCAUUUGAGUCGACGUUGAUAUUGCUCGUUUUCAAAAAAUAAGAAAAAUCAAAAUUUACAAAAAAAAAAGAAGUUGAGGGACCAAGUUGAAAAACCUAACAAAAGUUUUCCUAUAAAUACCAUGCUAAACUGAUUUUUCAAGGGGGGGCAAUUUUGACAACUUCAAAAAAAAAAUACAAAACCUAACCCUAAACCCAUUUUUUCAAGACAAGCCGCCCCCCCCCGGUUUGAAAUUUUUUGAACCUCCAGCCGUUGCUCCUUCUCGCCCCGACCUUGGCCUUUGAUUUUUGGAGAUCAGCCAAACAGCAGCAGAUGAUUUUUUGAAUUUUUUCUUCCCCAAAAACAGUCGGACUCCAGUCUCCUCUUCCCCGACGAUCGUUCCCUUCACCCGACUCUCCCAAAACCAGAGAAAACCAAAGGAUCGGCACCUUUCCCCCUCAAAAUCAGCCCCACAGACUAGCCAAACAGCAGCCCCCGCACCUUUUGAAUUUUUUUCUCUUCUCACUCAAUCGGCGCAGCCCCCUUCCCCGGUGUAUAUAUUUCUUUUUUUUUCUCUUCACUUUUCCCCGCUGCACCACCAUCUCCAUCAACGCCGGCCUCCACCUUGACAACCGCCAAACUAGCUGCCAGGUCCACCGUAGCUUCAACAGGUCCAGUUCAACCCCGCACCGGACAAAGACCAGCGCCAGCCGCCUGCUUCCCCUUCCCCGAUCUGUUCAUCUCCAUCAACCCGAAGCCUUCGCCCUCAGCACCAGCUUCUCCUCUCAUCGCCGAACACGGCGACACCACCUUCCAGCCAGCAGGCCACGGUCUCCCUCACCAGCAUAGACGCGACGAAGCUUCGUUCAUCGGCCACCAGCAGCGCCGUCCACAUCCGGCCACCGAUCCACCAUCAACCAGCCGCCGCCUAACCACCUGCAGCAGAGAAGAAGAUGGCGAAGCCCAAAAAACAGAUCCAGCACCGGAGGAGGAGAGAACGGAAAUGAGCAGAUCCGGUGAAGAGAGAAAGAACAGAUCUGAAAAAAAACUAAGAAAAAAUCGAAACCAACAGCUUGGUUUGCGUCUUUUUUGUUGUUUGCAGGUGGUUUUGUUUCCUAACAACCAGCAAGGAAGGGAAGAGAAGAAGAAAGCAGGCCAGAUCCAGUUGUUUCCGGGCAUUUUCUGGGCGGCGCGUGGUCCCACGCGCCGCCAGUGACGGUGGCGCAUGGAGGGGACGCGCCGCCACUGUUCACAUGUUCAGAAACCUUCCUCAGCACUGCAUGCGGUUCCAAAAAAGCUUCACCGACACUGUUAUUGGAUUUUGUGGAGGGGGUUUUAUUUUGUAAUUUUUGAAUUGUUCAAUAUUUUUGAAUUGUUUAACGUAUUGUUUUUUUAUUUAUUUAUUUUGAAUUUUGGUGAUUUGUAAGAUGUUAAUGGUAUGGAAUUGUGUAUAUAUGUAAAAGAAAAGAAAAAAGAAAAACAAAAACAAAAACAAAAAAUAGUGAAAGUGUACCUGUGUGUUUUUUUUAUAUUUGUUUUAUGAGUGUUUUAUUUAUUUUUUUAUUUAUGAAAAAAUUGCAAAGAUUAAAGAAGAAUUUAAUAUUUUGAUUGGAUCACGGUUAAGAAUUAUUAACUUAUACGUAAGUAAUAUUUCUAAUUUCCGAUGAAAAGACAAUUAUUAAAACUUCUUUAACACGUCAAAGCCACGAAGCAGUUUACCUCAGGUAGGGUGCGUUAGGGGUGUUAAUACCUUCCCUAACCACAACUAGUCCCUUACCCGCGCAUCUCUGACAAGACCAGUACAUCCGGUUUCCUAGUAGCCCGAAAUCAAUUACUAGGUGGCGACUCCAACGAACCAAAUUCAAAACAAAUACAACGAGAAAAUCGCCAGCCAAUGCCGCGCGUUGAAUGUUUUUGGGGUGCGACAGUCCUAAUCUGUCCAACGAAGUGAAAAAUAAGACCAAGACCCGCAUUAACCGGUAGCAUUCAUUAGCGAACUCUCUCUGGGCCCUCUCUCUUGCAUUUCUGAAAAAAUAGGCUGCCUUAAGAAAAGUUAGAGGAUUUCUCCUUCAUGCCCUUGCUCGCCCAACGCUAAAGCCCUUCCUUCCGUUCCUGAUGAAACUACUCAUCCUUAGAGAUGCUCCACAGAUGUGGAAUAACAUAUUCUUUAAUCGACGGUAAUUCCGCAAAGAGAGGAGCUUAACGCCCUGUUUCAUGGAUGGUCUUUGUAUUCUUUAAACACUACAUAUCUCGUCCUUGCAUGUCACCUAACAUCCUUUAGGAAUCUUCCUAUCUAUUGACUUCAAAAUUUCAAGCUAUAUAGCUCAACUGGCAGGAGGGUUCCGGCCCUCCCCUCGAGAGAUAUCGCGCCUCUCCUUUGUAAUAACAAUACAUGAAAACUUUAAAAUUUCAAUGCUGGAGGUGUGCACACAGAAUAUUAACUUCAGAAACAUGUCAACAGUCACGGAUCACCUUCCCUGAGAUUUGGACAGUUUUCUUUGUAGUAAUUAAUAAUCACUUCGUCAAUAACUAAGUGUUCGUAAAUAUUAAUGCAGCGACCCAAACAUGUCUUUCGGCUGAUCGAUUAUUGAAAUGCCGGCUUGCUGGUUUGGUUGAUGGGCCUUAAUUUAGAAAGGAGACUUGUACAGGUCUUGAAAGCGUACACGAGGAAGAAAGCUUCGUUGGUUUUGUGCGUCCUCCCUUACUGUGUGAAAUGAACAUUUUUUUCCCGUAUUUUUUUUUUUAACUAACUACACAAUUCAUGGAAGGUACAAAACCAAAUGUCAAAAACAGGCUGUAUGGCUAAAUAUAAUAUAUGUUGGAGUUUUGACUUGGCGUAUUUAGGAAUUAAAUUUUCUUGAAUGUUGGUUACAAAGUUUAGAUAAAAGAAAAAUUCAAGAGUGAUUAUCAAACUAUUUACUGAUUUAACUUAAUUUAGAUAAACUACAUUAAUUUUUUUUGAAUAAAACUAGAAAUGAAUUAUUACAAACUUUAAUACAUUACAUUGAAUUUAGUUGCUAAGUUUUAAAUAGUCUAAACUCAGGCUUAUAAUUAGUCCAGUAACAUCCGAGUAACUCACCAAAUCAACUCAAAAACCGUGUGACUUGACAAAACCUGGAUGAGACCCGACCUUUUGUUUUUAUAUAUUUAAAAAAAAACCCAAAAAAUAUAAAGCUAAUUUAUGAAUAUUUAGCAUGAUAUAUUUUUUUUAUAGUCUACAUUCCUAUGAAAUAUUUUUUAAUUUUUUCAUGUGAGAUAACUAUAUAUAUAUAUAUAUAUAUAUAUAUAUAUAUAUAUAAUGUUUAUUAACUUUUAAAUGUGGGAUAACUAUAUACUCUUCAUUCACAUAGAUUAUUUCUAAAUUAUUUUAUAGGAUAACUAUAUAUAUAGACUAUAUACACAAGUAAUGUUUCUUUUAAUUUUUUCAUGUAGGAUAACUAUAUAUAUAGCUCAUAUCCACAUAAAAUUUUUUUUUAACUUUUUAAUAAGGAAUAUUAAAAUCUUAUUUUUUUUUAUUUUUUUAAGUUAACUAGGGUUAAAUCUGUAUGCCUUAGACUCCACUUCUUGGUAUUAAAAACUGAAUUGAGUUGCUGGUUAAUUCAAUGAUGGAUCUUGGGAAUUACUAUAUUUUUAUUAUACAGUUGUUUGCCUCCUGGAAAUUUUCUGCCGUUUCAACAAUAUUGCCUUUGGAAAAAGUGCUAAUCUUACAUCUACAUCCCUUAGCGAGUGUUCCUCACGCCUGUCUUCUUGUUGCGAGACUUGUUUGCUCGAGUACAUACAGUAUGAUUCAAGGAGUGAUCAAGAUUUCCAAUAUUAGAAAGUACUUUCUCAUAUCACCUGCCCAAGUUUUUGCAAACUAGUAGAACAAACAGUAUGCUGAGGAGUCUUUCAGUCCGCAGAACAAAUUUAUUAAGCCUCGAUUCGUUUGUUUGUUUGCAGUAAAGUAAAUUUUUUUUAAAAAAUAAAUUUUAGAAAAAGUAAAUUUUUAGAAAGUAAAUUUCAGAAAAGUAUUUUAUGAUGUUUGGUAGUAUUAUGAAAAACACUUUACAGUAUUUGAUUGUAUUAUGAAAAAUAAACUGAAAAAUAAUUUAUUAAUAAAUUAAUUUUUUUAAAAAUUUAUCUAAUAUAUAUAAAAUAUUUAAUCACUUACAAUAAAAAAAAUAAAAUCUAAAAUGUAUAAUAAUGAAUUUUUUUUAUUAUAUUCUAUAUUCAUACAUAGCUUAUUUUAUAAAAUAUAACUAUAUAUAUCAUAUUAUAUUAUAAAGAAAUAAGCUUGUGAAAUAUUUUUUAUUAUUCAAUGAAACCAUUUAUAAUUCCAUUACAUACGAAAUACAUCCAACAAAAACUAUAGUUUUAAUAAUAAUUUUAGCAUGUAAUAAAAUUAGAUAAAAUAUUAAGGUAUAAAAUUCACUCUAAACUAUUUUUUUUAAAAUGUUAAAAAUAUAGCACACUAAAAAAACAAAAAAAAAAUUACCGCAGGCAAGUGAACAGAACUGCACUGUUCACUAUUUUUUAAGUGAACAGUAUAUACAUUGUUCAUGUUAAUUGCACUAUUCAUAAAAACAUGAAAAAGCAAUAGUGAACAGAACUGCACUGUUCACUAUUUUUUAAGUGAACAGUGUAUGCAAUACACUGUUCAUAAAAACAUGAAAAAGCAAUAUUGGCCGACAUCAAGAAGGUCUUUUUCAAUAAUAAAAAAUGAAAACACUUUCCUUAAACUUAACAUUUUCUUUUUAUCGGAAUUGAAUUUUUUUUAACUUACUUUGUAUGUAUUUGUCAAACAUAAAAAAGUAAGGAAAAUAAUUUCCAGGAAAGUGGUUUACGAAAACAAACGGGCCUUAAAUGGUGUUUGAAAGCGCCAUGCUGAUAUUGUUGAGUUCAAGCAACAGUUCGUCGACUCAACAACUCUGUAUUUAAGGAAAAAGAUCACAGCACAGCAGCCCUCAACACAGCUUCCCUUCCAUGACAAACCUUAGCAAAGGGAUGUCAAAGAUCUUAGAUGAGGCAUCGUAUUAGUUUUUUUAAGGGACAUGUAAGUUCUUGAUUCUUCUUUAGUGAUGGAAAUUUGAAUUUCUUGGAUUUGGUUUCUGGGAAUUUGUUGGUUCUUGCUCUGGUUUUAAACAAAGUUAGAAUCUUGAAAUUCUGGAAAUCGACACACACACACACACACCCAUUGGAUUCGCAAUUCUCUAGUGCUCAAGGAAAAUUGAAGUUCUUUGAUUUCCUUGUCGAGGAUUUAUUUUCUUUAAAUCGCUUCUCUUGAUUUGACUUUUCUCAAUUAUCUGCAUCUUCAUGGUCAUUUAAUUUCUGUCUUAUGAUCCUAUGAUCUGAGUUUGGAACUCAAUAAACCCAGAUAGGAGAAGUUUGGUUCUUUGAAGUUUUUUUGAUUAAGGAAGUUCUUGGUUUAUUUCUGUAAAGUGGCACUUUUUUUUUCCAGCCAUGUGACUCCCUAUCCUGAACUUUCAGCUAGCCCAGCUAGCCACUUUAAAGUUUAAAUGCAUGUGAUGUUGAUGUAUCACAAGUUCAUCCAGGUGGUAAUUUAAAACCUGUAUCUGUGAAAAAUGCCUCUCAAGGUUUCCUACUAUGGCAAUUACCUUCAAAUAGUAAAACUCAUCUUUGAUUCCUGACUCCUGUCUUGUGAUUUUCAGGUAUUACAACAAUGCUUACCAUGCAAGAGUUGGAGGGAUUAGCACGAUUGAGAUGAACUAUCUAGAAGUGGAUUUUCUAUUUGGAUUAGGCUUCAAUUUAAACGUGACUCCAAACACCUUCCACACUUACUGCUCCUACCUUCAGAGAGAGAUGAUGCAACAACCUUCUCUGAAUUUAGCUGAAUCUUCAUUGAACUUGGGGAGAUCACUAAAAGUUCACCUGUGCUUCAAUGAAGAUGAGACAUCCCAUCAACAACAGCAACUUGCUGUUUAAGCUACAGCUUGUUUAAUUAUAAUCCCUGGAAAAUGUAGUUAGUUAUAGAGAUAGUGGAAAAAAGUGCUAAUCUUACAUAGGCUAUCAUCAUUGAGGCUGUAGCGACCCAUAUUUCAAGAUGGAAAGGGAUCCAGCUGUAAGUGAGAGACGUAACGACAAGCAUACUUUGUCUACGCGGCUGCGGCUGCGUUUUAGUAAUAAAAAAAAGUAAUUUACUGUGCAUGGGAUCCACAUGCUUUUUGCGUUUAAAACGCUGAAAAGGAAAAGCUACCGAAACAUGUUUUUCAUUCUUUUCGGGUUAAUAAAAAAUAAAGAACAGUGCAAUUCUCAUGCACUAUUCACAGUGAAUUGCACUGUUCACGUGAACAGUGCAAGUGAAGUUUUUUUUAUUUUUUUUAUUAUUAUAAUAAUGUGUUAAUACUUAAUUGUAUUGAUUUCAAAAAAAAAAAAAAAAACUUGUUUAGAGAAUUAAAUUAAUUCGGGAUGCAGAGUGAAUUAAAUUCACUCGCACAGUAAUAUCAAUUUUGUAGUUUUUAUCGAAUGAAUUUUGCACGUAAUGAAAUUAUAAAUUGUUUAAUAGAAUAAUAAAAAAUAUUUUAUAUAAAGUAUUAUUUUUUUCAUGAUGUAAUAGGAGUAAUUAAUUUUACAAUAUUUAAAUUUAAAACCAUCAAUAUUAAUAUAUAUAUAUAUAUAUAUUUUAAUUAAUUUAUAACCUUAAUUUCAAAAGCAUUCUUAACCAAACACAUUAAACUACUUUUUUUUCAACCUCAAUUUCAACCACAAUUUUAACCAAACACCUAUUUUUUCAAAUCAACCUCAACUAAAAAUACUUUUUAUAAAACAAUUUUUUUCAAACCACAACUACAACAGCUACCGCAAUGUCAAACACACUCGAUCAUCGUACUGAAAUCUCUUGAACCAGCCAGCACUCUUUUAUUAUUGUUUCUAUCAGGUUGAGACAUUUUCAACUAAAUCAUUCAGUAACUACAAUUAAUUAACUGGCUCCUUAAUUCAUUUUGAGUUUCAACCGACAGUUCCUCAAUCACUUUUACUAAUUUUCCAUUCAGAAAUCUUAAUUAUAACUAUCAAAAUAAUACCACAAAAAAUUGCGAUUUCUUUUUUAUUUUAGCUUAAAUUGAUGUUAACAAAACAAAACCCUAACAAUAAUAAAGAUUAUGUGUUCAGUAAUUUACUAAAUUAAAGCGAGUGAUUCAAAAAUACUGAUCCCUACUGCUGAUAAUUAAAAAAUAUAUAAAAAAAAACAGAAAAAUCUUUAUUAACUCACAACAACACGUGAUGAUACCUGGCUAGGUAUCACUUGAUAGAAAAGACUACAAGAGCUGACAAUAAGAGCAAGGCUGCCACAACUGGAGGACUUACAACGGAAUUAGAAAUAAAAAUUAAGUCCACAUUAGCGCAUGGGCUUUACCUACUCUUGUUGACCUUCUUGCCCUUCCCUGUUGUCUCCUUCUUCCUGACUUCCUCUUUGAUUCUCAUUCUCACUCGUACAGUACUUCUUGAAGAAAUAAUUCAAACACCUCAUCACAAAAGGCACUGAAGCUGUAAUCAAAAGAUAGCGAAAAUGCACAGAUUCACGAGGAGUAACAGCAAUAACCGCAGAUGCAUAGGUUAUCAUCAUUGAAGCUGUAGCAACCCAUAUUUCAAGAUGGAAAGGGAACCUGUAAGUGAGAGAUAUAAUGACAAGUAUACAAGUGGAGAG
rnacentral:lncRNA from 1 species